CAUCACUCACGCUCGGGAGUGAGGGAGCCAUCGCCAAACAGCAAAUCAUCGUCAAGUCAAUUGGCCUCGACGUGCCUCCAAAAGGGAGAGGGAUGCUCCCUUGGCUUCCAUGGAAAAUAUUCUCCAAGCAAGCUCCCUUGCCCCAGGCUCCAUCUUCUUCAUCUCCUUUUUUUUUUUUUUUCUGGUUUUAGCGGGAACGCCGCGAACACACGUAUUCUCCAGGGUCCUCACUUGGUGCUGGAUUUCACCAACAGCAGCACCACAGGGGAGGUCAGAGGACCGUCAGUCAACAGGUGAGCCAGUGGAAGUAUAAACAUUGCCACAUCCUCUCUUCCUCCUGCCCUGGAGCCCAGAGAGGUUUUAUGUCCAUGUCAUUUAAGGAAAGGAGCCCACGAGCAGAAGAGACCGUGUGGUUUCUAUUCAUGACGUUCUCAUCAUUGUGAAAUCUCUGCAAGAACGACAUGGAAUGGAAACAGGUAUUGGAGACGAAGGCAACACGUUGUCGUCUGUUCUACUUCUGCGAAAUGGGCACAUUCAUGUCUUAAAAUGAUGCAGACUAAAACAACCGAGCAUCUUCCAAGGAAAUCUAAUCACCUGCUGUUCACCUGAUUGCCACUUCCUAGUGCUUCUGUGACACAUCACCACCAGCCAGGUGACCUUCACCUAGUGUCUGAAUCAGCACCACGCUCUCCUGUUGCUAUUCAGGGAGGGCCUUGGCACACGGGAGCUUUACAGUAAGUGUUACUUUCCAUCUUUAUUUUAACUUCAUAUUUUCUACUUUGAAAAUUACUAACAGCCAGCAUGCAUCAUGGACAUCGUGUUGCUUCUAUGCCCUGAUUUGAAUUCCUUAUGCAUUAUGGACAUCGUGUUGCUUCUAUGCCCUGAUUUGAAUUCCUAGUGAAUGAACGUGCGGUCAGCUGUGCAGAACAAGGUGGAGUAGGAACCAGGAGAGGGUGUGGAGCUGGGAGGAAAUCGCAGGGACCAUGCUGCCCAGGGCCUCCUGACCCCCUCACAGGAUGCUGUUUCUCCCGCAGGGAUAUGAGGCGCUAUUUUUAUUCCUCUCAGCACUAUUCAUUUACAAAUAUUGUAUUGGGUUCUGUGCCAAGUUUAAACAAUUGAUGAAAUGUGGGGUCUCAGGGGACCCCCGAGACAGAAGCCUUCCUAAGGAAAGACGGCGUGAAGCUGAGCGGGGCGGCGGCUGUUUCUGGGUGGGGGCUUCUCCCUCGUCGGGGUGAAUGAGCCCCGAGACCCUGGGGUGCUCCCUGCAUUCUGCUUUUCCCUCCACGCCUGUGUUCAUCCAAAACGCGGCAGCAGCCUUGACAGAUGGGAAGCCACCUGCGGGCCCCGUGCAGCGCCGCUGCCUCCCCUUUCCCGAACCUCCUGCCUCCUGACCCCCAGGGGAACUUUUCUGUGUCAGCGUCAGCACCUCGCAGGGCGGGAACGUUUGCUUGAGUCUAUGUGGCUCCUGAGAGGCGACCUCUGUGUUGGGCAGGAUGGAGGUGAAGCACGGAGGUCUUCUCUGGCGAAUCUCAUCACUGCCAGGAAGGCACAGAGGUCAGGUCAUGAGCAGGGCCCCAGGCAGGGCUCCCUGUGCUGUGGAGCCACAGAGAAAUGCCACCUCGCUUUAAAAUGAGGCCAACCUGUGUUGCCUCAAGAAAAGACCUCAUUGGUUCUCAUGACCAAAUCCGUUUGUAAAUAUUUAUGGCAUAGUGUGGGCUGUAUGAACACAAACCUAAUUUUAGAAGAUAUUGGAAGCAGGGCUGAUCAGUAUUUUUGUCACCGCGCGGGACUUUUUUGAAUUCCUAAAGCUAUACUUUCGGGUCAGAAGAACAUUGCAAUGACACAGGACAAAAGCAGUAUUUUGGCAAAGAUUGAUGAAUGCGCACAACUGAAUUUCUACGAAAAGAAUAAAUUGUGUAAUGAAAACACUGCUAAAAAUUAAAGGGACGUGGGGAACUUUUCCAUUUUUUAAAAGUGGUCAUAUUUUAAGAAAUAUUUUAUGAAGUAAAAUCACAUUUUAAGUCCAAAGGAAUGUGUCCUUUUAAGUUUAAAAUCACAUUAAAAAUGUUAAAUGAAAAUGUUGACAGCCACGUUUACACCAAGCACAGGGAAAAGGCCAGCACCUCCCCACCAGCUGUGCAGACACUUCUUUGUCAAAAAUGUGCCAGAGUCAGAAAAUAAUUUGAUAAUUAUUUAGGAAUCUGUUUUUCAUUUUCCUUCCAUGUCAAAAGUGUAUUUUAUAAUAAUUAUGCCAUUUUGACUUUAAAAGUACAUUGUACUUUUUGCUGAAAUGCCAGUUCAGGGAGCUUAGUCCCAUUAUGUAUGGUAACUGGUGGCUACAAGUUUAUAUUCACUUUGGAAAAAAGUUAUAAUUGUCUUCUAGUAUUUGGAUUUCAGUUUGUCAGAGAUAACUGAUUGUGAACAAAGUAUACGCUUUGUCCUCUUUAUCAAACUGCCAGCAUUCUGCAGAGCUGAACGCAUUUUGCUUGGUUGUGUGUUUAUUGUCAAAUGAUGGAAGUGGUUUUUCUCCCCCUAGAAUCAAGCAGAUCCUCUCUUGGGCUACCCAAGCCCCAGUGGUGAAUGGGCUUCCUUUGGCAGGGGUGUCGCCAGGAGAAGUGGUUCCUCUCAGUUCCCGGUCAGGUAAACAGUGGCUGCCAGGGUGAGCCCAAUUAUUAAUUUAAAACACCCAAAAUAACAGCAAUAUGAAAGAUCAGUAACUGUCUUAAAGUGGCCAAGUGUAGGAGUCUGUGUGUAACAUGGUGACCACAGGGUGCUUCGGGACAUUCUGUAGGUACUCAUUUGUCCCACGACAUUUGUUUAGAGCUAUCACGGUUAUUUUUUCAAGUACAUUCUCUUUCCAGUUCAAACAUAUCAUCACUAAUUAGUGUGUCUUGGAUUUGAUUUUUAAAAGGAAUCUUAACAUCUGAAUAUAGACGUAGAAGCCAUACUUCAAAUACAAAAAAAUCUUGCAUUGUCAAUAAGACCACUGGAGUCAAGGUCCAGAGAGAAGCCAACAGAAUCAGAGACCAUAAUAGACUUCAUGCUGUGUUCUGUCUCAGUAUUAAUAAUGCUCCUUCAGAAACCACACUUCCAUAGAAUUUGUCUACAAAUAGCACAUGCUAAAUAAUUGUCCAUUUGUAUUAAAAAGAGCAUAUAAAUAUGUAGUGUAAUAUUAUAUAAGUGCAUGUGUAUGUUGUGUGUGUCUGUAUACAUAUAUAUAUUUACAUACAUUUCCAUCUUCUGAUCAACUUAAAAUAACGUGCUAUAGAACUGAGCUGAUAAAAAUCUGACAAAAAC
rnacentral:lncRNA from 1 species